GAGAGUUAAACAGUACGUGAAAUUGUUGAAAGGGAAACGAUUGAAGUCAGUCAUACCAACGGGAAAUCAACCUUUUGAGCUUGGUUUCGUGGGUUUUGAAGAGUUUCAAAGCCUUCGGAUUCGCGAGAUUGGGAUCUCUCGGUGUACUUUCUCGUACGGUUAGUCAACAUCGGUUUUGAAUGUCAUAAAAUGACUGGAGGAAUGUAGCUUCGAUCUCGUAUUGAAGUGUUAUAGCCUUUGGUAGAUGUGAUGUUUGAGACCGAGGAUUGCAACGGAUACCCUUCAGGGCUAUUCGUCUGAUCUCUGAUACGUUGCCCUGAUGUUGAAAGCUUGCUUAUGAUGUUAGGGUAUUACGGUCAAAAGGUUAGAACGAAUUACAUUCGUUAAGGAUGUUGACGUAAUGACUUUAAACGA
rnacentral:rRNA from 1 species